rnacentral:lncRNA from 1 species
AUGCCAACAGGACCGUCUCCUCCCAGCAUAAACUCUUUAUUUCUCUCAUUUGGCACAAAUGGAACCGCCCCUGCCCGGCCCUACAGGGAUGCAGGAUCAGACCCCCUCACCCUGCCACUGGGCUCAUCGUCCUCCUGCGCCCCCAGUCUCUGCCUGUCCCGGGCUCAGAGCUCGAUGGUGUCGCUGGAGAGGCUGCGGGAGUCCCCCGCCUUGCCAAGGGCUGGGAAGGCGCGGGGACCCUCGCGCUCCCAGCCGGGGGCUGCAGCGGGCACCAGGAGAGGAGCCCGGCUGGGCGCCUCGUCCAGGGGUAGGCUGUCGGGAGAGGACAGCCCAUGGCGCCAGGGGUUCCAGCUGAUCUUCAGCGAGCUGCUCUCCAGGGAGCUGGCUGAGGCGGUGACGGUGACAGUGACGGUGCCGGGCGGCUGGCGGGGGCCGGGCAGCUCCGUGAGCGAGCUGCAGCGCACCAUGCGCCCCAGGCUGGGGGUCUUGUCAGGGGCUGGGGAGCCGUGCAGGGAGGAGCCGGAGCCGCGGCGGGGCCGCCCGAAGAGGCCGUCGUGCAGGAGGUGGCGGCGGCAGAGCGCCUGGUCGAUGCUGCGGCGCAGGUCGAUGGGGGACGGCGGGCGGAAGAUCAGCUCUCCCAGGGAGGGGGACGAGCCCUGCUCAAAGGCGGCGCAGGAGCGGGCGGCCAGCAUGUUGGGGCACUUGGGGCUGAGCCCCGGCAUCCCGGUGCCAGCUGCCCAGACCUCGUUGCUGUCCUUCAGAGCUCGCAGGGGCAGCUGCUCCGCCGGAUUGCGGAUGAGGUUCUUGGAGAUGUCGUUGGCGGGUGUCCGCUCCACACCGCUGCCACCGGUGCUGCCGCCGGCCCAGUCCCCCCCCCCCCCCCCCCCCCCCCCCCCCCCCCCCCCCCCCCCCCGCUGCCACCGGUGCUGCCGCCGGCCCAGUCGUAGCAGUUGUUGGGGUAUUCGGGUGCUUCAGCUUUGCGGCCGGCGCAGAAGUAGCGCAGUGCCUUGGCCCAGCAGGAGUGGCCGGCGGGGCUGCGGCGGCGGCACCGGCAGCACACCCCCCCCCCCCCCCCCCCCCCCCCCCCCCCCCCCCCCCCCCCCCCCCCCCCCCCCCCCCCCCCCCCCCCCCCCCCCCCCCCCCCCCCCCCCCCCCCCCCCCCCCCCCCCCCCCCCCCCC